rfam:Saccharomonospora sp. CTA-673 NODE_2_length_282255_cov_254.805_ID_7, whole genome shotgun sequence.
CCGGCUCCGGUUCACCUUCGCCCGCGCAUGUGCGCGGGACGGCGUACGCCGCGGGAGGACCCGGAGCC